GACGAACGCUGGCGGCGUGCCUAAUACAUGCAAGUAGAACGCUGGAGAGAGGAGCUUGCUCUUCUUGGAUGAGUUGCGAACGGGUGAGUAACGCGUAGGUAACCUGCCUGGUAGCGGGGGAUAACUAUUGGAAACGAUAGCUAAUACCGCAUGAUAUUAAUUGUCGCAUGAUAAUUAAUUGAAAGAUGCAAUUGCAUCACUACCAGAUGGACCUGCGUUGUAUUAGCUAGUUGGUGAGGUAACGGCUCACCAAGGCGACGAUACAUAGCCGACCUGAGAGGGUGAUCGGCCACACUGGGACUGAGACACGGCCCAGACUCCUACGGGAGGCAGCAGUAGGGACAUCCUCGGCAAUGGGGGGAACCCUGACCGAGCAACGCCGCGUGAGUGAAGAAGGUUUUCGGAUCGUAAAGCUCUGUUGUAAGAGAAGAACGGGUGUGAGAGUGGAAAGUUCACACU
rnacentral:rRNA from 1 species